rnacentral:lncRNA from 1 species
AUGCCGAGAACCAGAGGAGCACUGGUAACCAAUCGAUGUCGCUCAUCAGACGUGUUCUGGACCCCUUAUGUAAACAUAGUAAUCAACUGUUCUCGACAAGCAGACGACACUUGCUGCUUCUACCAGAUGACGCCAGUGGCGGAAGAAGUGACCCGAUGCCUGGAGUAACUUUGCAGUAUAAAAUUUUGCACUGUUCGAUUGGUCAAGAUAGAGUGGUUUUAGUGGAAUUCAGCCCUUGAUGGACAUAUCGUUUGUAUUUGCCCUGUCCUGGUGAUUGUAGAGAGCUCUUCCACACCUCGUGCACAUAUCAGAAUCCGCGAG